GAUGAACGCUAGCUACAGGCUUAACACAUGCAAGUCGAGGGGUAACAAGAGAAAAGCUUGCUUUUCUUGUUGACGACCGGCGCACGGGUGAGUAACGCGUAUCCAACCUGCCUAUAACUAGGGAAUAACCUUGCGAAAGUAAGACUAAUGCCCUAUGACUUCCUUUGGCGGCAUCAAAAAAGGAAUAAAGAUUUAUCGGUUAUAGAUGGGGAUGCGUCUGAUUAGCUUGUUGGCGGGGUAACGGCCCACCAAGGCAACGAUCAGUAGGGGUUCUGAGAGGAAGGUCCCCCACAUUGGAACUGAGACACGGUCCAAACUCCUACGGGAGGCAGCAGUGAGGAAUAUUGGUCAAUGGGCGGAAGCCUGAACCAGCCAAGUAGCGUGCAGGAUGACGGCCCUAUGGGUUGUAAACUGCUUUUAUACAGGGAUAAAGUUAGCCACGUGUGGUUAUUUGCAGGUACUGUAUGAAUAAGGACCGGCCAACUACGUGCCAGCCGCCGCGGUAA
rnacentral:rRNA from 1 species